CACGCGCACGCACGCAUACACUACACGGAUAAUAAGGUCGCUGGAUCGUGUUUCAUUGCAAUUAGCACGUGCGACGUCCGCCGCGUGCGUGGUGUGAAGCUUCCGGACUAUCUCAUACAUGGCUCGCGCGGCCGCCCCGCCCAGCCAAUCAAUAAUAUUCUUACACUUCACGGCCGGGCUAUUUACAGCGUACGUGCCGCGCGCUGUAACGCCAGACGGCAGCUAAUAUAGAUGCAGGCGUCGCCACCGUCGCGUGGCCGACGUCGUAAUGGCAGCUGUAUCGUUGCGCCUCGGGUCAUAUCAGUGUGUAUAAUUGAUGGUAGAUGGAUGGAUGAAUGGAUGGAUGGACGGAUGGAUAGAUAGGUGCAUGGGUGCAUGACUGAUGUAUAGCAACGCCACCUGUAGGCUGGACGGAGACAGCAAGAUCACCGAUGCGUUGGCACGGGCACGAGCACGAGUUGGUGAUGCUCAGUCAGACCUUGUCUGUGUGCAUCUCCGCCUCUCGUCUCUUCUUGCUUUAUGACUCUACAUGAAGUUCGGCGCCCCCUGGUGAGACAGAACUUCUCUAUACAUCAAGUUUAUCGCGCCCUGCCCCUAGCGAAGCAGCACUUCUCUACAUCAAGCGCAACGCCCCCUGGUGAGACAAAACCUCUCUUCGUUGAGCUCGGCGCCCCUUGGGAGACAGCACCACCUC